AUGUGUGUAUAUUUAUAUAUGUGUGUGUAUAUAUGUGUAUGUGUGUGUAUAUUUAUACAUAUAUGUAUAAUGUGUGUAUAUAUGUGUGCGUAUAUAUGUGUGUGUAUAUAUAUAUGUGUGUGUAUAUUUAUAUAUAUAUGUAUAAUGUGUGUAUAUUUAUAUAUGUGUGUGUAUAUAUAUAUAUGUAUGUAUGUGUAUAUAUAUAUAUUUAUAUAUAUAUAUUUAUAUAUAUAUUUAAGCAUGUCAGAGCCAUCGACAUCCUCCCUCCCUGCAGCAGCCGCCUUUACAAACCGGGUCUCCAAGGGCAGACAUUUUCUUACUACGGUUUUCACUGAGCGCAUUACCGGAUUCAGCUGCUGCCUGGCUACGAAUCAUCAAGCUCGCUCGCUCCCAGCCAGCGCGGUUCGGAAGCGGCCCCCUGCCGAGCCCAUCGCCCGGCUCGCAGUGGGGUUCGCCGACGCGAUGCCCUCGGGGAAGACGGCCCGCUGCGAGCAUCUGCGAGCAUGGGCGCGGACGGACGGACGGACGCUCGGACACCGGCCCCGCCCGGCCCCGCGUCACCCGCCGGCCCGGCCCCCGCCGCCGCCGCCCGCCACCGCGGCCCCGGCCCGCCGCGCCCCCCGGCCCUCGCACCCCUCCCUCCGGCUCGGCCCCAGCGGCCCGGACGCCCACGGCCCACCUCCGCCUGCCGCGCCACGUGGACCCGAGGCCGCGCUGACCCGCGGACAAAGACCAAAAUGUCCACUGGCGGCCCCGCGUCUGCGCACUCGAGGGCGAGCCUGCGAGCCAGCCAACCAGCCAGCCAGCGAGCGGGCGAACCGGCGAGCGCUCCCAGAAGUCUCCGCGACGCUGCCAAGCCAGGCCCGCCGGUCGUCUGUCGUCCGCGGCGCCGCUCCCCCGCUCCUCCGCCAGCCCCGGCCUUGGACUACAUUUCCCACGGGGCAUUACGGACUGCGCUCCUCUACCUCCUACGUCCCGCCUCGGACUACAUUUCCCACGGGGCAGUGCGGACCGCUUCUUCGGCUCCCUCGCGCGGAUCGUGUUCUCCCCCACACACCUCGGACUACAUUUCCCAUGGGGCAUUGCGGACCGCUUCUCCGUCCCACGGGGCUUUCCGGACUGGGCGCUAAUCCCGCCUACUCCCCGCCUCGGACUACAUUUCCCAUGGGGCAUUGCGGACCGCUUUUCGGUCUCCCUCGCGCAAACUAG
rnacentral:lncRNA from 1 species